GAUGAACGCUGGCGGCGUGCCUAAUACAUGCAAGUCGAGCGAACGGACGAGAAGCUUGCUUCUCUGAUGUUAGCGGCGGACGGGUGAGUAACACGUGGAUAACCUACCUAUAAGACUGGGAUAACUUCGGGAACCCGGAGCUAAUACCGUAUAAUAUUUUGAACCGCAUGGUUCAAUAGUGAAAGACGGUCUUGCUGUCACUUAUAGAUGGAUCCGCGCCGCAUUAGCUAGUUGGUAAGGUAACGGCUUACCAAGGCAACGAUGGAUAGCCGACCUGUGAGGGUGAUAUCCCACACGGGAACUGAGACACGGGCCAGACUCCUACGGGAGGCAGCAGUAGGGAAUCUUCCGCAAUGGGCGAAAGCAUGACGGAGCAACGCCGCGUGAUUGAUGAAGGUCUUCGGAUCGUAAAACUCUGUUAUUAGGGAAGAACAAAUGUGUAAGUAACUAUGCACAUCUUGACGGUACCUAAUCAGAAAGCCACGGCUAACUACGUG
rnacentral:rRNA from 1 species